AUUGAACGCUGGCGGCAGGCCUAACACAUGCAAGUCGAGCGGAUGAAGGGAGCUUGCUCUCUGAUUUAGCGGCGGACGGGUGAGUAAUGCCUAGGAAUCUGCCUGGUAGUGGGGGAUAACGUUCCGAAAGGAACGCUAAUACCGCAUACGUCCUACGGGAGAAAGCAGGGGACCUUCGGGCCUUGCGCUAUCAGAUGAGCCUAGGUCGGAUUAGCUAGUUGGUGAGGUAAUGGCUCACCAAGGCGACGAUCCGUAACUGGUCUGAGAGGAUGAUCAGUCACAAUGGAACUGAGACACGGUCCAGACUCCUACGGGAGGCAGCAGUGGGGAAUAUUGGACAAUGGGCGAAAGCCUGAUCCAGCCAUGCCGCGUGUGUGAAGAAGGUCUUCGGAUUGUAAAGCACUUUAAGUUGGGAGGAAGGGCAGUAAGUUAAUACCUUGCUGUUUUGACGUUACCGACAGAAUAAGCACCGGCUAACUUCGUGCCAGCCGCCGCCGUAACAC
rnacentral:rRNA from 1 species